rnacentral:lncRNA from 1 species
CUUCCCUGACAGACAGAGACAAAAUACAUCCUCCAGAGGCUCCAAGCUGUGGGGGUCCAAGACUAAAUUCUCUGGGAAGCAAGGAUGAACUACUCUCCCCAGACACUUUCUCAUAAGCAAGUAUUGUCAUGGAAGACGCUGAUGGCAUCCUGUGCUGCAGGAGUCGGAAGAUUUCCCACAGGUCAAGGGAGGCGAUCCUUCCAUUUGGUGAGCACUGGUGGGGCUACAUCUAUAGUACCAUGUCCAGUUCUGGCCUUGCCCCUACAAGAGAGACAUGGGCAGGCUGGAGAGUCUAGUGAUGGGCUACAAAGAUGAUUGGGUGUUACAAGAAAUAAGGAAUUUCCACUAUAUGUGACAAGUCUUGCAGAUCCUAUUAAUUUAGCUAAUGCUAUCACAACUAUUAAUUUGUCCUGUGUCCUCUCAUUAAUUUAAACUCCUUUGAUUACUUUCUUCUGUUUCAGCAACGAAGGAGUGAAAGGAAAAAAAAUAAUGACAACAGGUCACUGGUUUUCUGUCAAGAAUAGGAUUGUUCAUCCACUGUGUACAGCUGAUAUGAGUAGCACUCUAUGAAGAUUUGCCCGCUGUUUCUCUUCCUUACCAAAUCCUGCCCAGAACAUUACACUAGUCAGUAACCAGAAUAGCUUUAUCAUCAUUCACGUGCUGAAAGCUUUAGAAAGCUAAAAGGAUGUACAAGUGUAGAGGUAGCUCACAAUAAGGACACAUGUAGUGGCCAAAACAAAGGACCAGCUGGCUGGAGUCCAGUAAUGUAUGACAAUACAGAAGGGAGCCAACUGUCUGUGGCUCAUUGCUAAUUUCCCUUAGAAGCUUGAAAAGGCAUAUAAUUUGGUGAAGGUUACUGGCAUAUGUAAAGCUAACUCUGAAGGGUGCUACCUAUUGUGUUUAGAUAAAAAGUCCUUUCAAUUCAGAGAGAAAGAAGAUAGUCCUUGAGAUUUCAGGUUUGCAAGCAUAGAGAUUUGGGUUCUGACAACCUGAAUUUCACUUCAAGCUCGUUGUAUGGUGGCUAAUAUCCACUCAUCUCUGAGGGUCUGCCAGCAAGAAACAGAAAAUGCUGGGCAGGAGAGUUUCAAUGGAAUUUACACCACCAGAAUCUGUGGUAAUGAAAAGGUUCUAAUGCUUACCAUCAGUUUUCAGGAAUCCUAAAAAGACAUAAAACCCACAGCCAACAAAGCAGAAAAUCAGUCAUGGGCAAAGUGCAUGAUAGAAUCAUAUUAACUCAAAAUAAAUACAUGCCAUACUUGCUGGAAGAUCA